CAACACCAGCCUCAGCUACAACCAAAAUCACCAUAGCCCCCACGACAAAAACAACCACCAUUACCACUAACACCAACACUACCACCCACCGGGAACCACCAAGCAUCGCCACCAAGCAGCACUACUACUACACGCCUAGUUAACCGUAACAGGAGGAGGGACCAAUAAACCAGACAGACGAAAUAGGCAGAUAAAGAAAGGAAUGGAAGCUGGGUGCUUUGAGGCAAGCUUGGCAAGCUUCUGUUACUAUUGUUGUACACUGGAUGGAUAUGAGGUGCAUAAUUAACUAGCCACUACCAUACAUAGGAUGGAUAUGAGGUGCACAAUUAACUAGCCACUACCAUACAUAGGAUGGAUAUGAGGUGCACAAUUAACUAGCCACUACCAUACAUAGGAUGGAUAUGAGGUGCACAAACUAUCAGCUUUGACGAGAAAAAUGUACAAAUCCUUUCAUUCCCGUCUGAUCCUUGUCAUCUAGUCAUGG